rnacentral:rRNA from 1 species
AGCUCUGUAAGCGUAUACCAAAGUUGUUGCAGUUAAAACGCUCGUAGUCGAAUUUUGGUGUGAGUUAUGGAGACUCCUACUGGAUGUUGAAGUAACUUCGCCUUUGUGGAGGGGGAUGUGGUGUUACUUAAUUGUAUUGCUGCAUUUCCGCCACUGUUUACUGUGAAAAAAUUAGAGUGUUCAAAGCGAGCGUUUGCCAUGAAUACAUUAGCAUGGAAUAAUAGAAUAGGACCUGGUUCUGUUUUAUUGGUUUGUCUGUAUCAGGUAAUGAUUAACAGGGACGGUCGGGGGUAUUUGUAUUCCAGCGUUAGAGGUGAAAUUCUUGGAUCGCUGGAAGACAGACAGCUGCGAAAGCGUCUACCAAGGACGUUUUCA